AUUGAACGCUGGCGGCAGGCCUAACACAUGCAAGUCGAACGAGUGGCGGACGGGUGAGUAAUGUCUGGGAAACUGCCUGAUGGAGGGGGGUAACUACUGGAAACGGUAGCUAAUACCGCAUACCAUCGGAUGUGCCCAGAUGGGAUGUGCUAGUGGGUGGGGUAACGGCUCCCCUAGGCGACGAUCCCUAGCUGGUCGGAGAGGUUGACCAGCCAUACUGUGACUGAGACACGGUCCAGACUCCUACGGGAGGCAGCAGUGGGGAAUAGUGCACAAUGGGCGCAAGCCUGAUGCAGCCAUGCCGCGUGUAUGAAGAAGGCCUUCGGGUUGUAAAGUACUUUCAGCGAGGAGGCGUUACUCGCAGAAGAAGCACCGGCUAACUCCGUGCCAGCAGCCUCGGUAAUAC
rnacentral:rRNA from 1 species